AUAUCAUAGGCAAACCGUCUUAUGUUUCUGUCUUAUUUCAUUGUACAUUUGCAACAUGAAAUAUGGCAUAAACCUAAGGUGGGUGCUUAUAUGAUCGACGCUUCUUCGACCA
rnacentral:pre_miRNA from 1 species